GCAAGUCGAGCGGAAACGGUGGGAGCUUGCUCCCAGGCCUCGAGCGGCGGACGGGUGAGUAACGCGUAGGAAUCUACCCAGUAGUGGGGGAUAGCCCGGGGAAACUCGGAUUAAUACCGCAUACGCCCUACGGGGGAAAGGCCGGGAUCGUCGGACCGGGCGCUAUUGGAGGAGCCUGCGUUGGAUUAGCUAGUUGGUAGGGUAAAGGCCUACCAAGGCGACGAUCCAUAGCUGGUCUGAGAGGAUGAGC
rnacentral:rRNA from 1 species